CCUACGGGGGGCUGCAGUGGGGAAUAUUGGACAAUGGGGGCAACCCUGAUCCAGCCAUGCCGCGUGUGUGAAGAAGGCCCUCGGGUUGUAAAGCACUUUCAGUGAGGAAGAACGCCUGGUGGUUAAUACCCAUCAGGAAAGACAUCACUCACAGAAGAAGCACCGGCUAACUCCGUGCCAGCAGCCGCGGUAAUACGGAGGGUGCGAGCGUUAAUCGGAAUUACUGGGCGUAAAGCGCGCGUAGGUGGCUUGAUAAGCCGGUUGUGAAAGCCCCGGGCUCAACCUGGGAACGGCAUCCGGAACUGUCAAGCUAGAGUGCAGGAGAGGAAGGUAGAAUUCCCGGUGUAGCGGUGAAAUGCGUAGAGAUCGGGAGGAAUACCAGUGGCGAAGGCGGCCUUCUGGACUGACACUGACACUGAGGUGCGAAAGCGUGGGUAGCAAACAGGAUUUGAUACCCCGGUAGUC
rnacentral:rRNA from 1 species